CGCCCCGUGAAGAGUCGCCUGCUGUGGCGGCCUGUUUAGUCUCUUUGAGAUUGAACUAGCGGGGCGGGUUUUU
rnacentral:ncRNA from 1 species